GCGGCCAUGUCGGAGCGGGAGGUGUUGGACAAAUACUACUCGCCGGACUUCGAUCCUGCUAAGAUCCCAAAGCUCAAACUCCCAAAGGACCGACAGUAUGUGGUGCGGCUGAUGGCCCCCUUCAACAUGUGUUGCAAGACGUGUGGUGAAUACAUCUCUAAGGGGAAGAAAUGCCCGUAAGGAGACUGUUCAGAAUGAGAUGUACUUGGGACUUCCCAUCUUCCGUUUCUAUGGUGCCCGGCAGAGAUCACUUUCAAGCGGUUCAUAGUGCUAAAGUGUCUCGCCCAGCCAUGGGCAGGGAGCUGCAGCACAUCAGCUGGAGGAGAAUGAAGGGAACGUGGGCGCCGAGGUCUGCCCUGCGAUAUCUUCAGAACGCCGUGGAGCACAGAGCCACUCGGAACUUGCAAGCUGAGAAAGUCUUGGAGGAAGAGGAGAAGAUGAUGCAGGAGGAGAGGGGAAAAGGAGGAGAGAAACAAUCCCUGGCAAAAAAAAAAAUCCCCAGGGCGCUGUGAAGGGCAGCAGGGCCCUACCCAGUCCCCUUCAAAGCCCGGCUGAGCCCCUGGAGAGCUCUGCAGUGCAGAAGGGUCUUGCCUGGACCCGUUAAGCCCGGCCCCAGCCCCGGGGUCUCUCUCUGGCCGGUGGCAGAGCAGCCUGCGGAGCCCGGCCUCAGCCCCGGGGUCUCUGGAGGGAGGCAGGGCAGCCCUUGAAGCCCGGCCCCAGCCCA